rnacentral:rRNA from 1 species
GAUGAACGCUGACAGAAUGCUUAACACAUGCAAGUCAACUGUGGCGGACGUGUGAGUAACGCGUAAAGAACUUGCCUACCGGUUAGGGACCACAUUUGGAAACGAAUGCUAAUGCCUGAUACUGUGAGAGAGCUUUGCGUCCCAUUAGAUAGUUGGAGAGGUAACGGCUCACCAAGGCGAUGAUGGGUGGCCGGCUUGGGAGGGUGAUCGGCCACAAGGGGUCUGGGACACGGCCGUGACUACUACGGGGGGAAGGAGUGGGGAAUAUGGGAGAAUGGACCAAAGUCGGAGCCGGCAAUUCGGUGUGCACGAUGAAGUUUUCGGAAGGUAAAGUGCUUUCAGUUGGGAAGCGGUACCAAAAGAAGAAGUCACGGCUAAAUACGUGCCAGCAGCCGCGGUAAUUC